rnacentral:rRNA from 1 species
GACGAGCCACACGAACGUUAUUCGGAAUUACUGGGCUUAAAGGGUGCGUAGGCGGUGCGGCAAGUUGGGUGUGAAAUCCCAAGGCUUAACCUUGGAACUGCGUCGGAUACUGGAUGGCUUGAAUUCGGGAGAGGGAUGCAGAAUUCCAGGUGUAGCGGUGAAAUGCGUAGAUAUCUGGAGGAAUACCGGUGGCGAAGGCGGCAUCCUGGACCGACAUUGACGCUGAGGAGCGAAAGCUAGGGGAGCAAACGGG